UGACCCACGUCGAGAUUGGUCGGAGAUUUAAACGGAGGCGGACUCGGCUCAAUGCUGUCGUCCCCAGCGUUGGCGGAGGUGCAGUACGUCAGGGCCAAGACGUCGGUGUGGUGGGACAUAGAGAACUGCUCAGUUCCCAAGGGCAGCGACGCGCACGCGAUUGCCCAGAACAUCAGCUCCGCGCUUGCCAAGAUGAAUUACUGUGGUCCCGUCUCCAUCUACACCUAUGGCGACACCAACGGGAUCCCUGCAUCUGUCCAACAAGCCCUCUCCAGCACCGGCAUCGCCCUCAACCACGUCCCAGCCGGUGUGAAAGAUGCUAGUGACAAGAAGAUAUUAGUCGAUAUGCUGUUCUGGGCAGUAGACAACCCUGCCCCUGCAAACUUUAUGCUAAUUUCGGGAGACAGAGAUUUCUCUAAUGCGCUCCAUCAACUGCGCAUGAGGAGGUAUAACAUACUUCUAGCGCAGCCGCAAAAAGCAUCCGCACCCCUGAUUGCUGCAGCGAAGACUGUGUGGCUUUGGACUAGCCUCUCUGCCGGAGGACACCCACUUUUGAGUGGUGAAUCAUCACAGUUCGCUAAUGGUCAUCAUAACUCUACUAGCAGUUCUGAAACCCAUUCUUCUGGAAAUCAAAGGCCUUCCAGUAGUGCAAGGGCUGGUGAUAACAAAAGUAAGGGGAAGAAUGGUCGAAAAGCCACAAAUCAGUCAAGCACGUCAUGGGCCUCAAGCGUGCCAGCUUCAACUCAAGAGAGUAAAAACAAUGAUUAUCCUUACCAACGGGAACGUACAGAACCCAACCAGUUUAAGAAAGCCCCACGUAUUGAUCCAGUAGUCUCAGUAAAUUCUCAUAGUCAGGGUGGUUUUCGCCCAAAUGCUCCUCCUAGACAUGAUGGCCCCGGGCUUUUUCCAGUUCGACACACAAGUAUGCCUGAAUCACCCGGCUAUCCUCAAAAUCCUCCUCCUAAUGGCCAUCAUCGACGUGGAGAAGAAUUUAGGCCUAACUCUACUGAAUCUCCAUACCCAGCUCGCGUAAAUGUAACACAAAAGGGCCAUGGCCAGACAUUUCAUCAUCGUGAUACUAUGAGCAACAGGUAUCCUCGCGGACCUGGAUAUCGACCACCAGCAAACAGAUAAUGUUCUGUGUGGUUUCUCUAUUUUCUGCGAAAUAAGAAAGGGGAGAGAGAUAUGAGAGCAACAAGUCCUCUAGCAGGUUCCCUAUGGUGUGACCCCCGACUCAUCGCCAGGGACACCUUUCACAACGGUGGCAGCGAAUUGCACAGCCCCCUCUCGCAACCGUGGCAAGGAGACGGACAACCCUCAUCUCGCGACAGAUCCAGAAACCUAGUGACAUAUUCACCGAAUGGUUCCAUUUUUCUUAUUUCUGAGAAUUCUUCUUCUUUGAUUCUCUCUUCACAUCGUUCACUUCUUCAGACUAGAACAUUUUCCAGUUUCUUCGAUUAAGCAAUUGCUUCUCUCUUCAAAAUUUUGACUGUGUUAUUUCCAUCCGAAGAAAUAAGCUGAUUUUACAUACUCGUUGAUAAUAGACGAUUUUGUGGAUUAAUAUUUGGAAGGUUGUACUACUUUUUGUGAGCUUUUACUGAGGUCUUAACAUUUUGAAGGUUGGGUUCUGCAGUGAGGAUUGGUAUGGUAGAAUGGAUUUGUUGCGGGUAUUUUGCCCUAAUUUCUUGCUCUGAUAUUGUGUAAUGGAGGACAAAGUUCAAGGUCCAAUAGAAGGCAUUUAGAUGAGUGUGUUAAAGGUUCAUUUUUUGUAUGGUGUUCAGUACAUCGUGCUGGGACCCGUUGUUUCUUA